rnacentral:tRNA from 1 species
UUCGUGGGAUCAAGGCCCGCCUAUUCAU